rnacentral:lncRNA from 1 species
UCAAUUUCCCAAGGGAGGGGAAGAUGAUCCGCACGCAUACGCAGAACGAAAACGCAUUCUUCAAGGCUUAGAAACAUAACUCCUGAACCAUUUGAAUUCUCACACAACAUUGUCACUCAAAAAGCCUCAGCCCACAAUCCUUCAAUUUUUCCCUUUGUAACACUGUCCUCCACAUCAAGAUAUUAUUAAAGCAACAACAAAAUAAGCCUAACAAAACUUCAAUUUAUAUAUUAAAUAUUAAGAGCCUUCCGACUUUGGUAAUUCCUAGCAUCUUCCUUCAUUAACCCAUAAAAACAUGCUCUUUAAUGAAGCAGAACACAAAAAAUUCCAAGUUUGCAUAAUGAGGAUAAGAACUCAGAUGAUAACAAUGGUGAAAACGCGACCAUCCAUCAUCCAACUCAGGAAGGAAUAGGAGAAUCUGAGUCGGUUUUCUUACCUUAUGCAAGAGGACUAUAAAAGCCCAGAUUCGCGCUGCUUUCAAUUGCUAAUUUAGUGAAAGCCCCAAUUCAGAACACACUACAACAACUACACAACAAAUACAAUCUACAAUAAGGCUCCGUUCGGGCACCAGCUUUUUUCAGCUUUUUUCUGCUUUUUUUUGUUUUUCUGUUUUUGCUUUUUUGCUUAGUUUUAGCUAAAGUAGCUUACAAAAGCAAAAAAGUCAAAAAUUCUUUGCCUUUUUGGUAGCUAAGCUUAAAAAAACUUGGCUAUUAAUCAUGUAACCGAACGAGCCUAAGUCAAACAGAAGUUAUAAAACCAACAUUUCUAUGACCAGUUUCUUUCAAAGUCAAUAUAAUUUUUCCCAUUAGAUAAUGACCAUUUCCGUUGUAAAACGUGGGGAAUCUUAAAUAAAGCUCCUAGUUUCUCCUUGGGGGAAGAAUAUGUGACAAUAACAACAACCCCAACAAUCUCUACAACACCAACUAUGCUCAGUUUACACAGCCUCACAUACAAUACAUACGGCAAGAUUUUUAAAGGCGAAUGUACAUACAAAGCCCGAAUUGUAACUCCUAGCGUAAAAAUAUAAUACCAUCGUAGCUAAUCUCGAUGAAAUUGGGUUUUUCUGGAAACUUUGGGCGGCGAUCUCUCCCAGCCUCCCCUGGGUCCAUCCCUACUCACGUAUAUAUACAUCAAACUACGUCAUUCCGGGAUCAAUCAACAAAACUAAAGCUCAAAUCUAAAACUUUCAACCAAACUUACACAAAAAUUCAAACCGAAAUGGCCAAAUACUCUUUAUGUCUCCGUUUGAUUCAAUAGAAAACAACAAUCCUAACGAUUCUCUGGAAAACCCUAGACGGGAAUUUUUUGUGCGCUUAACGAAACCCUAAACAGAAAUCGAAAAGAUAUUCAAUAGAUUGAGAAACGAUACCUCUUUCACAGAGGAAUAGAAAGGAAUCUGAUGCUUCCCGAAGCAGAGCCGCGCCUUUUUUCCCUUCCAGCUCUCUCUCUCUCCUCUCUCUCUCUAGAAGCUUCAUCAAUUUGUGUAUAUAUGCUUUUUAUCCGAAUGACCCGUCAACGGACGUGUAAUGAAAGGCGUGUUUCGAACGCGUUGAGCUGCUUCACCCACCGGUUCACACGUCCCUCUCGUUUUGGUUUUUUAUUCAUAAUUGCUAUGUAGGUAAAUUACCAUUACCGCCCAUGCGAUUUUGACCAUUACAGUAACCUACCCUACAGUUGUUAAAGAUACAUUCCAUCCCAUGUAGACUUGUUAGUUAAAAGGGUUCAUGACGGAAGGCAGUGGGCCUUGUUAUGCCUAGGAUGGUGUCUGAGAGGCUUAUAAUCGAUCGAAAUUGACAGUGACCGGUUUGAAGGGAAAUAGUGCUUGUUUGGUUAAAAGUUAAAAAAAUAAUUUUUAAUUAGUGCUAAACUCGCUAUGUGUAAAGCAGAAAAUUGGUUUGUGGCGAGCUGUAAGAUUAGAAUUAAGUUUACUGAAAUGUUUUGGUAUCAAAUCUGUACAAACACUAUUCUAAUGAAAAAAAUCUAAAGGUACCCUCUUGGGUAAAAUGGUUUAAUACUAUUUUUUUUGUUUCCUUUGUGUGUUUUUUCUUUCUCUUUAUGAAAAAAUAUAUGUUGACAAAAUUUAUUAAAUUUUAUUUAAAAAAACUUGAUAAAUAAUUAUUGUUGAGAAAUAAAUAAUAAUAACAAUAAAAAAAUCCUUAACAAAACAAGCACAAAUUAACUUACAAAUCCUUGACAAAAAACAAGAUAAUAGAAGACAUUUAAACACACAUAUUUGGUAUAAGGGUAAGAUAAUCUUUUCUUGCUUGUUUAUAUUUGGUAUUUCAUAAUUAAAUAAAGAGUAUAACAGUAAAAUGGUCUUUUCGUAUGUGUUUUUUAAAAGAAGAUCCCAAAAGAACCUCAAAGGAGCUACGAACUUUCAAUUAAUUUCAGCUAAAAAAAGCUUUUUUAAGCUCAUAAUUGCUUUGUAUUAGCUUUUUACCAAACAUGUUACUUUAGCUUUUUUUAAGCCAGAAGCUGAAAUUCAGCCCUGCCAAAAAUGCUCAUAACGGGGGUUGUGAUUGGAGGUGGCACUGUAAUCAUGUUUAUGGGGUGGGAGGUGAUGGUGGCUGCGAAAAAUAGCGUUGUUUGAAGUUCGAUUUUUAUUCGUGUGCUAUUACUUUCUGUCUGAGUACAUAUUACAUGUCAUUCAUACUCAAACUCUUUUAUGUGUGUUGCCUUGAAAAGUAAUGGUAAUUUGAUUUGAAGCUAGCUAGGUGUCUGAUACCGGCAUUAAAUUUAUUAACAAGGUCGAAUUUAGAUCAGAAUCAAAUUAUAUUAGCUGUACAUUUUAUCUGGACUCCAAAGACUUUUGGCAAGACACCAUAUUCUUUCCAUUCUAGUUGUUUGAUGAAUUCAUUGGAAUUUCUACUCGUAUAGUAUUUUAGGGUAAAUUGAUUUUACUCAUUAACGACAAAAUGUAAAUAGACCGAUUAUCGCAGGCCUGGUCUUUGAAGACUUAAGUCCUUUCGAUAGAUUCUUUUCAUUCCAUUUUGAGUAGAAAUUGGGUGUUAUUUGCUUUUGAUUUGGACAAAGCCAAAUUAUACUAAUCAAGAGUUUUUUGUCAUUUCUGUAUGUUCUAGACUAUUUUUUAGUUCUUUUAGGCUUUAAUUUAAAAAAAUUAGGUUCCCAUUCAACAAUUUUCCUCCAUUUUAGCUACACUUCAAAAUUUCACUACAUUCUAUUUUAUUUAUUUUGCAAUAAGUAGAUGGUAAUAAGGAAAAUGGAUGUUGCGCCUAGGUCGUAAUGGUAAAACUCAAAACUAGACAUUAUACAUAGUAAAAAGUGUCUCAAGCAGUAGCAUCCCAAUCUCUUGUUCCAAGUGUUUUCUAAUUUGUUUGUCUAUUUUUCUAAUUGGAAUGUUCGAAUAUUUGUCCCUUUGAAGACUCAAAUCAUCAAACUUAUUUUUUUUCUAUGAACUAUCUCCUUAUAAAUAUGCACAAUACCUUUAAAAACGAGAAUAUAAGGAACAAUUUUGAAAUCACUACUGCCUUAAUUUAUUUUGAAUUCAUUGCAUGCAUAUUCUCUUAAAAGUUAGUAACUCCUCAAAAAAUUCAAAAGAUCAAUAAAAAUAGAACAAAGGGAGUAAAUUCUUUUUGUGUGUGUAAACUAUUUGCUAGCGUCUUUUGUCCAAAUGAAUCAAUUCAGCCCCACCCACAAUCUGUGUGCCUACCCUAACCCAUACAUCACUAUCAAGGAAAAAAAUGGGUUUAUUUAUUUUUUGUGUUUUUCAAAGGGGGAAGUCAAAAUUUUCAAACUAAUCUGAGCUUAUGAAUCAUGCCUAACUUGGUCUAUUUGCCCAAACACUAAAAAGGGAAAAAGUUUAAAUUUAAUUUUGAGCUUUAAUUAAGCCCCAACUCACUUCUAUGAACAAACUUAAGCCGCGCGUUUGAUAUGAUAACGAUGGCUCAAGGAGGGUAGCUGGGUGCAUCUAUCACCUCAAAAUUUUUAAAAAUUUUAGCUAUUUAAAAGUAUCAAUAGCUAUUAUCACAAAAUUAUAUAAGUUCGUCGUCCCACAUCACAUGUGUAUUACGAAUUUUAUAUUUUAUAUGUAUAUUUGUUUUCUAGAUUAAAUCGUAUGUCCGUCGUGAAGACCGACAAAAGAAUGCUCUGUAAUAUGGAAUAAAACCUAAAGUGCAAAUUUAGAAAUAGAUUAAACAAAAUGUUGUAGUGGAUCUUACUAAUCAGCUGUUAUGAAGUGAUCUGUGUUUGAAUUAUGAACGUGUAUUUGUUUACAAAUUGAUGAUAUAUUUCGGAAAAAUAUUAAAAAUGCAUCUAUCCGCCCACAUUAAAAAUGCGUGAUGUUUAGUCAUACUCUGUGCUCAACUAUAUAAAAAACCCCUUCCACUGAACAAAUCUUGGUCCCAUACCAACUCUCCUCUCUCUCAUGGGAAACUACAUCUCGAUGACUCGUUGCACUCUCAUUUCUCCUACGAUUAACAACUCCAAAGGCACCAGAGUCAUCUUCCCCGGCGGCGAAAUCCGACAGUUUCGGGAACAGGCGACGGUGGCGGAGCCGAUGCUCGAAGCGACCCGGCUUUUUUAGUCACUCUCGAUCGUUGACCGUCUGCCGCGAUUCUCGCCCCGCUGCCCGACGAGACCUGGGAGUUUCUGCCACCUGUUACGUCAUGUUCCGAUGAGGCCAGAGUCAACUCCGUCGUCACCACAGCCGACGUGGCGGUGAUUUUCAUGACGGCGAAAUCGCCUGACAAAACGGAUCCCGGUGUCGGAAACGGCGAGGUUACGCCGGAUUCCGGCGAAUCUUUCACGGCGAUCGGUUGACGGAAAACGGAGGCGUCGGUUUUGCAAGAUGGCCUUGGGGCGACGGCGAGGGUUUUCCUCCGCCGGAUGUUCAAUAUAGGUUAGCGGUGUGUAGUCAAGGAGGCCUGGAUUGGAUACACUAACAGAAGAGCCUCUUCGUUCAAGAUGAAAAUUUGUUGCUGAGUAGUGAAGAAAAGGAAAAUCACAUGUCCAACUUUGGUUCUCCCCCUGAUGAAUAUACC